rnacentral:rRNA from 1 species
CCCUUUGGGGGUACUCGAGUGGCGAACGGGUGAGUAACACGUGGGUGAUCUGCCCUGCACUUCGGGAUAAGCCUGGGAAACUGGGUCUAAUACCGGAUAGGACGAUGGUUUGGAUGCCAUUGUGGAAAGUUUUUCGGUGUGGGAUGAGCUCGCGGCCUAUCAGCUUGUUGGUGGGGUAAUGGCCUACCAAGGCGUCGACGGGUAGCCGGCCUGAGAGGGUGUACGGCCACAUUGGGACUGGGAUACGGCCCAG